rnacentral:rRNA from 1 species
UCUCCGAAGCUACGGGUAUCACCUUCGGGUGAUGCGGUAGAGGAGCGUUCUGUAAGCCUGUGAAGGUGAGUUGAGAAGCUUGCUGGAGGUAUCAGAAGUGCGAAUGCUGACAUGAGUAACGAUAAUGGGUGUGAAAAACACCCACGCCGAAAGACCAAGGUUUCCUGCGCAACGUUAAUCGACGCAGGGUUAGUCGGUCCCUAAGGCGAGGCUGAAAAGCGUAGUCGAUGGAAAACAGGUUAAUAUUCCUGUACUUCUGGUUAUUGCGAUGGAGGGACGGAGAAGGCUAGGCCAG